rnacentral:rRNA from 1 species
AUACGGAGGGUGCAAGCGUUGUUCGGAAUUACUGGGCGUAAAGCGCGCGUAGGCGGUCUGUUAUGUCAAAUGAGAAAGUCCUCGGCUCAACCGGGGAAGUGCAUUUGAAACUGGCAGACUUGAGUACUGGAGGGGGUGGUGGAAUUCCCGGUGUAGAGGUGAAAUUCGUAGAUAUCGGGAGGAAUACCGGUGGCGAAGGCGACCACCUGGCCAGAUACUGACGCUGAGGUGCGAAAGCGUGGGGAGCAAACAGGAUUAGAAACCCCGGUAGUCC